GGCCAUUUUGGAAUUUUAAGAAACCUGAAACAGAAAGGUGUUUGAGAAUUUUUUUUUCGGCAAAGUUAUUUUUGGAAUAACAGCAUCCAUCCUUACCUUUUCGACCACCAACCUGACGGCGUCCACUGGAAAUCUUCAUGUACUUUGGAAAAGGAACUCUCAACUUAAUUUUUGAUAAAACGAAAAGAAAAUAAAGCUUGUGGACGAAUUGCAUGGAUUUAAGAUGGCCAAUCAUUGUGCAAAUAAAAGGGGCCAUUACAUUGAUAGUAAAUAUUUUUUCUGAUAUUGAAUGAAACUUCCUUCUGUAGGUCUAUCAAAUUAAUUACGAAACAGGAAAAUUGAUGCUGAACGUGACUUUCCACUGUCACAUGUGGAUUACUAUCAGACCAACAUAAAUUUGUAUAUUAUUUCUACAAUAUGCUGCUGAGAUAUCUUAAUGAUUUCAUAUUUGUCAUAUGUAGUUAGGAACCAGUCUUUUAUGGCUGUGCUAUGGAUAGGUAGACAAGUGUUCUACAAAGAAUAAUUGCCAUAUAGCUUCAGAAUAAUCCUUUGUAGAAUGCAUGUGUACAUGCAACCUAUACAUUUUGGGAUUUGUUUUUUGAUAAUUUGUUUUGUUAAAGUAUCCAAAAUGUAAAUCUUCCUUAUAACUCUGCUUAUUUUCUUCACACAAUAAUUUUGAGUUAUUUAAACUUCUGUAUAAGUUUUUAAAAUUAUAACCAAAAACGCAAAUAUUAAUAAUAUAAGUUUCACCCAAUGUUUUGAAUUUUAAGAAUAUCAUGAUGUUAUCAUGCUUAAGAGGAUUCUCUAUGGUCCUUAAAGUUACUGUGGAGAGUCGCCGUAUGAAAGGAGGAAGCUCCAGGGUUGGGGCAUGCACGGUCAUGUGACCAUGAUGACGUGAGAAUUAUUAUUAUUAGUAUUUAAUUAAACAACUUUUAUUGCAUAAACGAAUACAAAUAAAGAUACAGUAAAACCUCGAUAUAAUACCGGACUUCGUUAAAACGGACUUCGGAUAUAAAGGACAAAUUUAUUACAGACAAAAAAAAUUAUUAUAUUAUUAUAUUAAUACAUUUGGCCGGUAUUUGACUUAUCAAUGAUUUUAUAAAAUAUUUGUCACAGCAAUUUUACAGUGUAAUAGUCUGUGUUUUAUAAAAAAUUUCUUUCAAUAAUA